rnacentral:tRNA from 1 species
UCAUUGGUGAUGUAGUGAUAGAAUGCUUGCCUUCUAUGUGGGAGACCCAGGUGCAAUUCCUGGCCAAUGCG